AUGGAGAAUGGAAAAUUGACAGCCAUGCCUGCAGUUCUGAUACAUACAUCUAUAUGUGUACAUGUGGCCAAAGAAAAGAAAUACAAAAAGCAGCUAGUGAAAUUAGAGUAGCUGCCCAUAUAUACUGCACCAUCUCUCCAGUCUAAAUAUGUUGAAGAGCAGCCUGGCCAUUUACAAAUAGGCUUUGCUUCUAUUCACACUACAACUGGUCAUUACAUUGGCUGGUGCAAGGGUGUUUACAUCUUUGUGAAAAAUGGGAUAACACAUAUGAUACAAUUUGGAAAAAGUAGAUGCAUAUGUCUUUCUGAAGAACACUCCUCAAGAUUUUCUUCCAAAAAUGGAAGCGAUUACGGUGAUUUCAGGAUUGGUGGGCUUGGUUUGAGCGAGAAAAAGUUCUAGGUUUAAGAAAAUAACCACUUAUGCUCUGGGCCUGGCCACUUUAAGAGCAACUGCUUGCUAUCCAGUUCAGUGAGUAAUAAUUGCUAAGGUAAUAGGGAAAAGGCAUAUGCUACAAACCAGCAAAUUUAUAAAGCAGUUAAAUAGUUAUAGACCAAAGCAACAAAAAGAGUCACUUCUUGAACCUAAAGAAAAACUAAGCUAGGAAGCUCUGCUGAAACAGAAAUACCUGCAAAAACAACUCAUGUCCUGAAAUAGUGCCUUUGCCAUCAGAACUCGGCUCUGAAGGAAAGACCAAAUCAGAAUCCACCUCAGGUGCUACCCAGUUUAUGCCUGACCCCAAGUUCAUGGAUCACAGGCAGUCCCACCCAGAAGAUGUAGAUCAGUACAGCACUAGAAGCUGAAGUAGACUGCAUAGAGAGAUUGCAUAGAAAACUACAAG